GUAGGUGGCAAGCGUUGUCCGGGAAUUAUUGGGGCGUAAAGCGCGCGCAGGCGGUUCUUUAAGUCUGAUGUGAAAGCCCACGGGCUCAACCGUGGAGGGUCAUUGGAAACUGGAGAACUUGAGUACAGAAGAGGAAAGCGGAAUUCCACGUGUAGCGGUGAAAUGCGUAGAGAUGUGGAGGAACACCAGUGGCGAAGGCGGCUUUCUGGUCUGUAACUGACGCUGAGGCGCGAAAGCGUGGGGAGCAAACAGGAUUAGAUACCCUGGUAGUCCACGCCGUAAGCGAUGAGUGCUAAGUGUUAGGGGGUUUCCGCCCCUUAGUGCUGCAGCUAACGCAUUAAGCUCUCCGCCUGGGGAGUACGGCCGCAAAGGCUG
rnacentral:rRNA from 1 species